CCGCAAUUUUUUGUUAGAUAACGGUUGUCCGACAUUUCGCGGUUUGAACCAUUUCGCGGUUUUCUGUUUUGCGGUCUAUACAUUUUCGCGGUUUACCAUUUCACGGUUUACCAUUUGGCGGUACAUAUACCGUUUCGCGGUAUUAAUCGGUUCCUAAUUUUAGUUUAUCUCUUAAGCACAUUCACACAUUGCGAGCAAGUCUUUCAAGAUACGCACGCACGCUAACGCAUACACAUGCAUACAUACAAUCAUUAAAUAAUUCAUUGUUUUGCUAGUUCCAUGAACUGUUCUUUCUAGUACUAAAUACAUAAACAUACGCUCAUACAUAUAUGCAUACUUACACGGUUGUACGCCAUUUCCCGGAAACCUAUUUACCAAAAAGACGUUCCCCCGAAAAUAGUGCCAUACUAUUUUUUUUAAUCUACCGUAUGUGUCACCGAAGCCCCCUGGUGAAGAUAGUACCUCUUCUACAAUAACCUUGCAGACCGACUGAGCUGUCUGCAUGACAGUGGUGGACAAUAGAAUAAAGGGAAUGGGAAACUGUCAGAGCUUGGCAUAGAUGAAUCUAGAAGGAUAAAUGCAUGUGCAAUCAACAAGUAAUGUCUUUGAGGUCUAAAAUUUGCAAAUCAUUUUUCAUUAUUAACAUUUACGUACAAACAAAGUGAAUUCGAAGAUACUAUAUAAAGAAUAUCCUAAUAGUACGGUACAGAGGAGACGGUUAGUUAUUGUAAUUUUGCCAGUAACAGGUGAGAAAUUGUGGAACUUAUCAAAAGUGCUUUAUUCAUGCAAUUAUCUAUAAACCCUUAAGGAACGAUUGAAUGCAGCAGGCCACAGCAACUAGUGCCGAAGGACGUAGAGAAGACACUAUAUAUGCACUAAACGUAAGAUAUCUGUAUUUCUAAAACUUAACCUAAAACAUGCCCUAAACCAUAAAACUAUAUGUGCACAGGAAUUUAAAACGGACCUGAACUUCGGACGAAUAAAGGCCGCUACGAAUUUGGAAGCAUCCAACGUCUUUUCUUUGUUACCGUGUCACGCAAGUAACAAAUUUUUAAAUUCGUUUAUCGAAGAACGAUGUCGGACUCGGCCAAUGCUGCUGCCACUACUGGCAAUCAAGGUAAGAGCUUAGCUAAUCAGUCUAAUGACGCGUAUGUAGACCCCCCUCACGAAUCCCAAACGUUGAACCCAAAUAAAGAUACCCUUCUCAAACCCGGUGGGGACAAAAAGGCACCCUCUGUCAAAAGUAGGUCGUCGAAAAGUCGGGAACACAAUAUCCCUUCCCCGCGGGACAAACAGUCUGAAACGAUCGGUCACAGUUGUAAAACGUGUCGUUCCGCGGAUCACAGCCGGAUGGUGCAGUGCGAUGAUUGUGAUGGUUGGCACCAUUACAAUUGCGUGGGCGUCGAUGAUCGUAUCGCGAAAAAACAGUGGCGGUGUGUGAAGUGUGAGGAUAAUCGGAAAGUUCGUCGCAGUUCCAAAACUACGAGGACGGAAGCGCCUAAAAAGAAGGCUACAGGCAAAGCGAAGAAGGAAUCCGGGACGAAGCAACCAGAUCUACAGGAACAACGGAAGCACCUGGGGGAUCAGCCGGCAACGUGUAUAAAGGCAGCAUCGGUGAAAUCGGGAACUUCGCGGAAGUCGUCCAGAGCACAGCUGGAACUGCAACUUCAAAAACUAGAUGCUGAGCGAACCCUGCUGGAAGAUAAGAAGAAGUUAAUAGAGCAGCAGUACAGUGUACUCCAAGAACUCGCCGAACUCGAUGAGCAGGUCGAAGGCGCAGAAGACGGUGAUGAAGUAGAUGGGGCUUCCAAAGUGGAGGAUUGGCUGCGUGACGGAGUUAACUCGGACACGGAUGACGAGAACACGGACUCAAGCGAAGGUGCAGACGAGGACAUCGGGAGUUCAUCGGAGGAAGACAUCGAAGACGAUCCUCAAGAAAACGGAUCGAAAUUCAAUCCGAUUCGGCGCUCUACACCAAGAAUGGACCCUAGGAGCAUGCAGAAAAGUGUUACACGCAGCAACCAGUUAAACUGUAGCCUGAACCGUAAUCAACUCGCAGCUCGUCAAGUUGUUGCGAAGGAUCUGCCACCUUUCACAGGGAACCCCGAGGAGUGGCCGAUUUUUUUCUCCACCUACGAAAGCACGACUCGGAUGUGUGGCUACACCAACGACGAAAACAUGAUUCGGUUGAGAAACUGCUUGAGAGGAGACGCCUUCGCCGCAGUGAGGAGCUUUUUGCUUCAUCCGUCAACUGUGGAUAGAGCGAUAAGUGCCCUAAAACUGCGUUUUGGGCAACCGCGUUUCGUGAUUCAUUCGCUGAGGGACAAGAUAAUUGCCAUGCCGCCGCUGAAGCCAGAUUCAAUCAACAGAAUGAUCGACUUUGCGCUGGCAGUUCAGAAUCUUGAAGCAACGAUCGAUGCGUGCGGACAGAGGGACUUGAUGCGAGAUACGUCGUUACUGGGCGAGCUGAUUGGAAAGCUCCCUGCUUCGAUGAAGCUGGAAUGGGCAAGGCAUACCCGCAGCCUGCGGAAGGUCAACCUGGCGGCCUUCAGCAAGUGGAUGUACGAUAUGGCAGAAGACGCUUGCCUAGUUGCCGAGCCGCGCAGGAAUCAAGAAGUACAGCAAAGUCAGGAACCGCGCAAAAAGUCAAAGGCAUUCCUGAACACGCACACCGAUCAGCCAAGCUGGAAGAAGGAGGAUCACCAGGCAUCAUCAACAAGUAUGUCCAGAUCUACAGGGACACAUAAGAAGGUCUACUCUCAGGCCUGCACCGUCUGCAAAGGAACUUGCGCCACUCUUGCUAAUUGUGGAAGGUUCCUAGGGCUGUCUUAUGACGGACGGUGGUCUACAAUUCGUGAAGCUAGAGUCUGCAGGAAGUGUCUGAAGCAACACAAAGGAGGCUGUGAAUCGAAGCAAUGUGGCGUGAGCGGAUGCACCUACAAGCACCAUCCCUUGUUGCAUAAGGAGCUGAAUGCAGAAACGGCGGCGGUAGUGAAACCACAACGUGAAGAGCAGUCCUGUAACACACAUCAGUCGGGGGCAAGUCCCAUCCUUUUCCGUUAUGUCCCAGUCAUAGUGUACGGCUGUGGAAUUGUUGUACACUGUUACGCCUUUCUGGAUGACGGAUCCUCGAAAACGCUCAUGGACGAAGAGUUGGCCAAGGAACUGAACCUUUCCGGAGAACGCCAUCCACUUUGUCUAAAAUGGACUGGUGGUUUGCAUAGAUCGGAAGACGAGUCACGCAGCGUUCAAAUUGACAUCUCCGGACUGAAGGGAAAGCGCUUCCGCUUUGAGGACGUUCGUACCGUUACAGAGUUGCAGCUACCCAGUCAAACACUUGAUGUUCAACAGCUACAGUCUGAAUACUACUACCUGAAGGGUGUUCCCGUAGAAUCCUAUCGUGAUGUCCGGCCGAGACUCCUGAUCGGAGUUCAACAUGCGCACGCAACGCUGGUGAGGAAGAGUCGCGAAGGAAGACCCGGUCAACCGAUCGCUAUUAAAACAAACCUUGGCUGGACGAUAUACGGCGGCGCUCCGGCAGAACAAUCUGUUAACAUGGUUCAUUACACAAAUCACGUCUCUUGCUGCGAUCACGAUACCGAAAAAGCUGAUGAAAAUCUCGGUCAUGCGGUGAAGGAGUACUUUUCACUCGAAAGCCUUGGCGUCACGUCACCAGUCCAGCAGAUUCGUUCCCAGGAUGAUGAGCGUGCUAUGAAUCUAUUGCGGGAGCUUACCCAGUUCAACGGAGAAAGGUACGAAUCAGGAUUAUUGUGGAGACGAGACAGCGAACAUUUGCCGAACAAUAAGACGAUGGCAUUGAAACGCUUCAAGCUUCUGGAACGCCGCAUGGAGAAGGAUGUUGAAGUAGCACGGGUGGUGAAAGAGAAGCUGACAGAAUACGUUGAAAAAGGCUACGCGCGUAAGCUAACCAACGAAGAACUGGAAAAGAACCACGAACGUGUCUGGUAUUUACCAGUUUUUCCAGUCGUUAAUCCCAACAAGCCAGGCAAGGUGAGACUCGUUUGGGACGCGGCUGCUACGACGAAUGGGGUAUCGCUGAACUCUGCGCUGCUUACCGGACCAGAUUUGCUAGAGCCGUUGAUCCACGUGCUGUACAGAUUCCGUCAGAAUCGUUUCGCGAUAUGUGGUGACAUACGUGAAAUGUUUCACCAAGUCGCAAUUCGCAACGAAGAUCAACAUAGCCAACGUUUCUUUCUGAAAGAUGAGGAAGGUCAAGAUGAACCUAGCACCUACGUCAUGCAGGUGAUGACGUUUGGAGCCUCCUGCUCACCAACGACCGCCCAGUUCGUUAAGAACACGAACGCGGACCGGUUCAGCAAAACGCAUCCAGCUGCAGCUACAGCAAUCGUACGGUGCACCUACGUUGAUGACAUGUUAACCAGUACGGAAACAGAGCAAGAAGCUAUCGAACUCGCGAAAUCCGUUUGGUACGUCCAUAAAGAAGGAGGAUUUGAAAUCCGAAAUUGGAUGUCCAAUUCAUCGGUAGUUCUGACGGCCCUCCGCGGCGACUUGAAUGCUGAGAAGAGUCUCGAUUUGUCAUCCACUCUUGCAACGGAAAAGGUUCUAGGCAUGUGGUGGUGCACGCAAACGGAUUCCUUUACGUACAAGAUUAACUGGAGCAGGCUUGGAGAAGAUUUGCUGACGGGAGAACGCUACCCCACGAAGCGAGAAGUCCUUCGCACCAUGAUGACAAUCUACGAUCCACUCGGCUUAAUCGCUCACUACCUCAUGUUCUUAAAAGUGCUGCUGCAGGAAAUCUGGCGAACGGGUAUCAGUUGGGACGAGACAGUGAAUUCGGAGUGUUUCGAAAAGUGGCAGACGUGGUUAAGGCUUCUUCCGGAAAUCGAGAGUCUCCAAAUACCACGCUGCUUUCGCCUUCAAACGUCAGCAGGAGAAAAUACGGAGAUCCAAUUACAUACCUUUGUUGACGCCGGUGAAAACGGCAUGGCCGCCGUUGCGUAUCUCCGUUUCGUGGAAGCAGGGACUGUUGAGUGCUCGUUAGUUGCAGCGAAAACGCGUGUAGCGCCGCUUAAAUACCUGACCAUUCCUAGAUUAGAGCUCCAAGCGGCCCUCAUUGGCGCAAGGCUCGCGCAUUUCAUUGUCCAGGGAUUGGACCUUACAAUCUCUCGAUGUGUCUUCUGGUCAGAUUCCAGGAACGCGCUCUCGUGGAUACGCGCAGAUCAUCGUAGAUAUAGUCAAUUUGUGGCUGCCCGUGUUAGCGAGAUCUUGGAUCUAACAAACGUUGCUGACUGGAAAUGGGUUCCAACGAAAUGGAACGUGGCGGAUGAAGGAACCAAAUGGCAGCAACGUCCUUCACUCACAGCUGAAAGCAGAUGGUACAAAGGGCCUGAAUUCCUUUGGCAACGAGAAGAAGAAUGGCCUUCUGUUCCCGUCAAGCUUGAAGAGACCACUGAAGAGUUGCGCGCCACCAUUCACGUCCACUACGAAACGGCAAAGUCGGAGUUCCCGAUAGAGAGAUUCCGUGACUGGAGAAAGCUGAUACGUACGACGGCACAUAUUUUCCGGUUCAUCGCGAACGCUCAGCCGAAACGGUUUCCUCGGCUAACGUGCGGUAUCACAAAAGAGGAAAUGCGCAAAGCAGAAACCUUCCACUUUCGGGCUGCGCAACAAGAGUGUUUCCAAGAAGAGUUUGCUGUUCUCCAUCGGAACGAUAGCAAAGUGGCGAUCCCUAAACGAAGCACGCUAUACAAGCUGAGCCCCUUCAUCGACGGACAAGGUUUGCUGCGCAUGGCAGGCAGAACCGCGGCGUGUGAAUACCUAUCACCGGACACUAUUAAUCCCAUUAUUCUACCUCGUGACCAUCGGGUAACGCACCUCGUAGUACGAAGUUAUCACGACAAGUUUCACCAUCAAAAUCAUGAGUCAGUGAUUAACGAAGUACGCCAGAAAUUUUGUAUAAGUCGACUGCGCCGUGUAUACGCAAAAAUAAGGUCUCAGUGCCAACGUUGUAAGUUGAGGGAUGCACGUCCACGUCCUCCAGCUAUGGCAGAUCUACCUCCCUGCCGACUGGCCGCCUUUGUCCGACCGUUUACCCACACUGGAGUAGACUAUUUUGGUCCCAUGGAAGUAUGUAUUGGGAGAAGGGUUGAGAAGAGGUGGGGGGUCCUACUAACAUGUCUCACCAUACGCGCAGUCCACAUCGAAUUAGCUAGCUCAUUAACCACUAACUCCUGCAUCAUGGCACUGCGUAACUUUAUUGCCCGGCGUGGAACUCCAGCUGUAUUUUACAGCGACAGAGGAACCAACUUCAUUGGUUCUGAGCGCGAACUGAAGCAAACUUUGAAGGCAGUAGAUCAGAACAAGAUGGCACAAGAGUUCGUCAGCUCAACGACAUCCUGGAGCUUUAAUCCACCGGCUGCCCCUCAUAUGGGGGGAAGUUGGGAAAGGCUGGUUCAGUCCGUAAAGCGGACCCUGUCGGAGCUCAAACCGUCUCCCCGGCCAAAUGAUGAGGAAUUGCGGAACGCGUUGAUAGAAGUCGAAGGUAUCCUCAACGCUCGACCUCUGACACAUGUACCCAUCGAAGACGAAGCAGCUCCUGCGCUUACACCAAACCACUGGCUACUAGGAAGCUCCGAUGGAACCAAACCUUGGUCUUUGCUGGAGAAUGACUCGAUCGCGCUGAGACGUGGCUGGCAUCAAUCCCAAGUACUCGCCAACCACUUCUGGGAGAGAUGGCUACGUGAGUACCUGCCGGAGAUAACAAGGCGCAGCAAAUGGCACAAGAAGGCCACGCCGAUCGAGGAAGGUGAUAUCGUGCUGAUCGUCGAUCCGGAACUCCCGAGAAGCUGCUGGCCAAAGGGACGCGUCAUAGGUACAGUCAAUCGGGACGGGCAGGUACGUAAGGUAACUAUUCAAACGAUGAAAGGUGUCUACGAGAGACCGGCUGUGAACGUUGCGGUACUUGACGUCAAGGGGCAAGAGAAGUUGGUGAACUCAGAGGCGGAGUUCCCAAACUGGGGGGGACUGUCACCGAAGCCCCCUGGUGAAGAUAGUACCUCUUCUACAAUAACCUUGCAGACCGACUGAGCUGUCUGCAUGACAGUGGUGGACAAUAGAAUAAAGGGAAUGGGAAACUGUCAGAGCUUGGCAUAGAUGAAUCUAGAAGGAUAAAUGCAUGUGCAAUCAACAAGUAAUGUCUUUGAGGUCUAAAAUUUGCAAAUCAUUUUUCAUUAUUAACAUUUACGUACAAACAAAGUGAAUUCGAAGAUACUAUAUAAAGAAUAUCCUAAUAGUACGGUACAGAGGAGACGGUUAGUUAUUGUAAUUUUGCCAGUAACAGGAACGAUUGAAUGCAGCAGGCCACAGCAACUAGUGCCGAAGGACGUAGAGAAGACACUAUAUAUGCACUAAACGAAUUUAAAACGGACCUGAACUUCGGACGAAUAAAGGCCGCUACGAAUUUGGAAGCAUCCAACGUCUUUUCUUUGUUACCGUGUCACGCAAGUAACAGUAUGUGUUGUACAUAAAAUGGUAGAUUAUUGUAUUUAAAUAAUACAAAUUUGGCAGCAUUAAUAUUCAAAGAAUAUUCUUUGAUUGGAAAAAAUGCUGAAUCAUUUGUUGUAUAAUAGGGUCUGGGACCCUAUUCAGUCAAUGUUGAACCAAUUGACUUGAAUUUUCGAAAUCAAGUCAAUUGGUUUCAAAUUGACUGAGUUAUAACAGCAAGUGCCCAAAAUAGCCUCCCUGCCCAAGUGGUCCCAGGCCCUACAUAGGCAGGUCGCAAUUUUUGCAUUGAAGAAAUAUUUCACAAAUAGUAAAUUCCUCCUUCUUUUUACAUAGGCUGUUCUUUCGAGUUAUCUUUUAAAAUAGUUUUCGGCAUGAACCUGCCAAUGUUUUCAUCUAAUAAUUGCCCUUCUUUUAAACUUAAGCUGUUUGUGUAGUGUAACUACACUGUAAGGAUAGUUGUUGGCAUUUAACUAGUAAUAUCAUCAUAGGAUAUGUUCCCUUCUUUUAUUAAUAUGUCGUUCUUUUGAGUUUAUUGUUAAGCUGCUAACAUUUUCAUAGAAUAUUUUCCCUUCUUUUAAACAUUUCUGGUUUAGACUGAGACAAGACAAGAUAAUUCGCAUUACGAAAAGAUCCUGGGCCGACCGGGAAUCGAACCCAGUACCCUCAGUAUGGUCUUGUACCCGCGCGUUAACGACUUCGGCUAUAUGGGACAGCACAGGCAUAGACGCACGCACAAAUGUACUUACCAUUAACUAAUAGUUCACGCUUCUUAGUAUCAUGAACUGUUCUUUAUAAACUCACACACAAUCUUCUAAUACAGGGGAUAGACAAAAUGAUCGGGACAGGCAAAAUUUUCACUUUUCAAAAAAUGUUCAAUUAGCUGUAACUUUUCGAAAAGUGCACCAAAUAUUUUCAAAUUUUUACUGUAAGUUCCUCAACUACAGCGGCCGUUCGCUCUUUGCAAACCCGCUCGUUGCAACGCUUGUUAGUGGCAAGUCUGCUAAUUGCAAAAAUUGACAAGUUUUUGCAAUUAAAAAGCAAUAAAGUGUCAAAUUCGUGCUGUCAGUUAUGCUGUCAGUGCAUUUCGAUGCACUUCAGUGUCAAAGUGACGUUGCAAUUAACGAAUGGCAUUCGCUCGUUGCAAUGUAAACAUUUUGCAACGAGCGAACGGCCGCUGUAGCUGUGUAUCAGUGGACAAAAUUUGGAAAAGAUCGGACAAUUCUUCACGAAGUUAUAAAGAUUUUUGAAAAAGGUCAAAUUAUCCGAUAGUCAACUUUGAGCUGCUAUAUCUCCGGAUUCAAUGAACCGAAUGCAAUGAAAUUUUGACCAUUUAUGACUUAUAUAAUGAGCUAUGAAAAACCAUUGACUUAACUUAAUAUUCUUAGCACGGAAGAAAAUUAUAACGAUUAGAUUAUUUUUCCAAUAAAACACCAAAUUAUCAAAAACAUCAACAUCGUUUCAAAAUUCAAGAUGCAAAUUAUAGUUCAUUUAGUUUCUCUCUAAUUGACUUAUAUAUAAAUGCGUUUUGAAGGAAAGUAACAACAUAACCACCAAUAAAUUGAAAAAGUAAUGGGAUGCAUAUUAAAAAUAGACCAAUUUACUAAAAAGUCGUGAAAAAAAUAAAAUCGCUAUAACUUUUUCGCUUGCUAAAAAAUUCAAGUUAAGUCAAAUGUUUUCCAGAGUUCAUUAUAUAAGUCAUGAAUGGUCAAAAUUUUAUUGCAAUCGGUUCAUUGAAUCCGGAGAUAUAACAGCUCAAAGUUGGCUAUCGGAUAAUUUUAUCUUUUUCAAAAAUCUUUAUAACUUCGUGAAGAAUUGUCCGAUCUUUUCCAAAUUUUGUCCACUGAUACACAACUAGUUGCGGAACUUACAGUAAAAAUUUGAAAAUAUUUGGUGCACUUUUCGAAAAGUUACAGCUAAUUGAACAUGUUUUGAAAAGUGAAAAUUUUGCCUGUCCCGAUUAUUUUGUCUAUCCCCUGUAGUUCACCCUUCUUAUUUUCAUGAACUGUUCUUUCGAGUUAGAGUUCGAGAAAGGCCGAAACACGUGAGGCUGAAAUCACAAAUGUUUGUGGCUGAAUCUCGAAAAUAUCAAAAGCCUGUAGUUGAAAAUUGAAAUACAUAUUGAUACGGCUAGUUUUCAAUUGAUGUCGUUAAUACAAAAGGAGUCGCUUACAAAACCGCUCUUGCAGUACUACGCUCAUAAGCAUAAUAUCAUUCGAUUUUUAUACGCAGUAUACAGUGGUUCCCAUGUGACGCAUAGUCGUGAUAGUAUGUCUCAAAAGAAUAGACUAUGCUAAAAAGAAUGAAAAAUCUCUUAAGAGAAUAUUUUCAACAACGUGUGCAUUCUAGAAUGUUCAUCAUUUUUUAUCUUCAGCCUUUUGUUAUUGCAACCUUGAGUAAUGCUUACAUUGUUACAGCCUUAUGUGCAUUCAGCACUUCGAGAGCCAGCCUUAAGCUAUCAGUACACACUUUUCCAAAUGUGCUGAUUUUUCCACACGCAUAAAGCAGCACUGAAAUAUCCACUUUAUAUUUUAGGUGUUAAGUCGAUGUUGAAACUGAUGUUUGCCUGUUGGUUAAGGGCGGACGGGACGGUCGGGGAAAUAUCCGCCAUUGCUCUGUUGCUACUAAGAUGGUAAUCUCAGAUUCUACUUCAUAUUUUGCAACAAAAACCUAUCACUGUGUAUGCUCACUUGCAGUGCAUAUGCUGAUUGUUUUUCAGCAUCUUCAGUGUGAUAGAACUCGAGAUUACCAUCUUCAAAAUCGCGAGGCAAAUUGUUAGAAAGAGAGGCAAGAUAGGAAAAAUAACACGGCAUCCCGUUUCACCUUAAUGUUUCCGUUCUUUCGCAUACAUGCACAGAUGCACAAACAAAUUCGGGUCGCUCGUAAACCACUUAGACAUUUUGGAAGAGGGAGGUCUGGUCAAAGUCCACGCUCCAUACAAUUUUUGAAAUUUUGUAUGGUCAAAAGAUUACAAGAGAGAGAAGAGGGAUCUGAGUUGUUCAAAUUUUGGUUUUCGUGGUUUAUAAACGACCCCUUACACACAAUGAUCUAAUAGUUUGCCCUUCUUAGUUCCAUGAGCAGUUUUUUUCGAAUUGGUACAAACCGCGAAAUGGCUGACCGCGAAACAAUGCAGACCGCCAAGUGGUCCACCGCGAAACGGCAUACCGCGAAAUGGUAUCAUCCGCGAAAUGUCAUACCGCGAAAUGGCACACCGCGAAACAGGUUACCGCGAAGUGGUUUACCGCGAAAUGUUAUAC